GAUGAACGCUGGCGGCGUGCUUAACACAUGCAAGUCGAACGAUGAAGCCCAGCUUGCUGGGUGGAUUAGUGGCGAACGGGUGAGUAACACGUGAGUAACCUGCCCUUAACUCUGGGAUAAGCCUGGGAAACUGGGUCUAAUACCGGAUAGGAGCGUCCACCGCAUGGUGGGUGUUGGAAAGAUUUAUCGGUUUUGGAUGGACUCGCGGCCUAUCAGCUUGUUGGUGAGGUAAUGGCUCACCAAGGCGACGACGGGUAGCCGGCCUGAGAGGGUGACCGGCCACACUGGGACUAAGACACGGCCCAGACUCCUACGGGAGGCAGCAGUGGGGAAUAUUGCACAAUGGCGCAAGCCUGAUGCAGCGACGCCGCGUGAGGGAUGACGGCCUUCGGGUUGUAAACCUCUUUCAGUAGGGAAGAAGCGAAAGUGACGGUACCUGCAGAAGAAGCACCGGCUAACUACGUG
rnacentral:rRNA from 1 species